GUGCCAAGUACAUGUAAUGGCUUCUCCUUUGCUGGCCUUUGUUGGUGCCCUGAUUUGAGGAACAAUUUGUUCUUACUCUCAAAUGUUUGGUGCUGUACAGCAAGGAUUCAUGGAUUGAGUGGAAUCUGAACACUCACAGCUCUAAAGGAGCCGUGAUCGAUGCCGUGAAGAAUCUGCCUUAUAAAGGAGGAAACACACUCACAGGUCGUGCUCUGACGUAUAUUCUGGAGAACAGCUUCAAAGCUGAAUCUGGAUCCAGGCCUGAUGUUCCUAAGAUUGUGAUUCUGAUCACGGAUGGGAAAUCACAGGACGAUGUUCUUUCUCCUGCUCAGAGACUCAGAGAUGCUGGGAUCGAGCUGUUUGUUAUCGGAGUGAAGAACGCGGAUGAGAAUGAGCUGAGAGCCAUUGCCUCCCCGCCGGAGGAGACACACGUGUAUAACGCGGCUGAUUUCAGCUUUAUGUUAGACAUCAUCGAGAGACUCAGCAGGAGCGUCUGCGAGCGCGUCUCUGAACUCAGCAGAGACAUCAGCGGUGACAAAAAUGAAGAUGAUGAAGAUGAUGAAGAUGAUGCCAUCAGAAGUGCUUCUGUUUGCAGCAUUAUUCGGACGGCGUGUGUGCUGCAUUUCUGAAAAACAAACAUGUAUUGUUUUAUCUUCUCAUACCUUGUUG